UAGGGUGAACCUGCGGAAGGAUCAUUACCUUUCAAUGCAGCAGAAUUGGGAUGGUUGAGUAUCUCGCCUCUCAGUUCUGCCUGUAUUCUACCCUUGNUUUGUCAUAUACUAUUAUUUCCUCGGCAGGCUUGCCUGCCGAGUGAAACCAUUUAUAACCUUUUUAAUUUUCAAUCAGCGUCUGAAAAAAAUUAAUAAUUACAACUUUCAACAACGGAUCUCUUGGUUCUGGCAUCGAUGAAGAACGCAGCGAAAUGCGAUAAGUAGUGUGAAUUGCAGAAUUCAGUGAAUCAUCGAAUCUUUGAACGCACAUUGCGCCCCUUGGUAUUCCAUGGGGCAUGCCUGUUCGAGCGUCAUUUGUACCUUCAAGCUUUGCUUGGUGUUGGGUGUUUGUCCCGAGGGACUCGCCUUAAAGUAAUUGGCAGCCAGUGUUUGGUUUUGAAGCGCAGCACAAGUCGCGAUUCAAGGCUACACGCCCGCUUCCACAAGCCAUUUUCACUUUUGACCUCGGAUCAGGUAGGGAUACCCGCUGAACUUAAGCAUAUCAAUAA
rnacentral:rRNA from 1 species